UACAAUCCACAAAAGCGCCACUAAGUCGAGCUGAUCCAAAUUCACCGUUGUCGCACCUCCAUGUCGCGUUUGCAAAAGCGUUGAGUUCUCACGACCAGAAACGCAUAGGUUUCUGUCGACAUGCCGCGUUCGAGAACCCAUGCAGUGACG
rnacentral:lncRNA from 1 species